AUAUACAAUACCGGUUCUCGUUAGAUCACCGAAGUCAAGCAUCAUUGGGCGCGGUCAGUACUUGGGUGGGUGACCACCUGGGAACACCGCGUGCCGUU